rnacentral:rRNA from 1 species
GAUGAACGCUGGCGGCGUGCCUAAUACAUGCAAGUCGAGCGAACAGAUGAGGAGCUUGCUCCUCUGCCGUUAGCGGCGGACGGGUGAGUAACACGUGGAUAACCUACCUAUAAGACUGGGAUAACUACGGGAAACCGGAGAUAAUACCGGAUAAUAUAUUGAACCGCAUGGUUCAAUAGUGAAAGACGGUUUUGCUGUCACUUAUAGAUGGAUCCGCGCCGCAUUAGCUAGUUGGUAAGGUAACGGCUUACCAAGGCAACGAUGCGUAGCCGACCUGAGAGGGUGAUCGGCCACACUGGAACUGAGACACGGUCCAGACUCCUACGGGAGGCAGCAGUAGGGAAUCUUCCGCAAUGGGCGAAAGCCUGACGGAGCAACGCCGCGUGAGUGAUGAAGGUCUUCGGAUCGUAAAGCUCUGUUAUUAGGGAAGAACAAAUGUGUAUGUAACUAUGCACGUCUUGACGGUACCUAAUCAGAAAGCCCCGGCUAACUUCGUG